UACGUAGGGUGCGAGCGUUAAUCGGAAUUACUGGGCGUAAAGCGUGCGCAGGCGGUGAUGUAAGACAGGUGUGAAAUCCCCGGGCUUAACCUGGGAACUGCAUUUGUGACUGCAUCGCUGGAGUGCGGCAGAGGGGGAUGGAAUUCCGCGUGUAGCAGUGAAAUGCGUAGAUAUGCGGAGGAACACCGAUGGCGAAGGCAAUCCCCUGGUCCUUGACUGACGCUGAGGCGCGAAAGCGUGGGGAGCAAACAGG
rnacentral:rRNA from 1 species